rnacentral:rRNA from 1 species
UACGAAGGGGGCUAGCGUUGCUCGGAAUCACUGGGCGUAAAGCGCACGUAGGCGGCUUUCUAAGUCAGGGGUGAAAUCCUGGAGCUCAACUCCAGAACUGCCUUUGAUACUGGAGAGCUUGAGUCCGGAAGAGGUGAGUGGAACUCCGAGUGUAGAGGUGAAAUUCGUAGAUAUUCGGAAGAACACCAGUGGCGAAGGCGACUUACUGGACGAUUGUUGACGCUGAGGUGCGAAAGCGUGGGGAGCAAACAGG